UAUAAAAGGGGGCCAUAUUUUCUUCCUAUCUUCUCUUAUGCUUUCAGAGUUUUUUUUCUCCUCCUGAUCAAGUUUUCGACUUCCUUCAAGCUUUUUGAAAAGCUCUCCCUCUGGUCGUCUCCUUCAAUUUUCUUGGGUUGUCGGUGACCUUCGGUAACUUCCCUUGGUCAAUUGUCCUUGUCUCCCAUACAGUUGCUGAUAUGAGGUCCAAAGAGCUUGAGGUGUUGAGGAAGAAUGCGUAAAAGAAGAGGAAGGCAUCCUCAUCAGCUGCUGUCGGAGCCCAGAAGAAGCAAAGGCACUUCAAUGCUGGUUAGAGAGAGGUGCUCCCUUCGGCUUCUUCCACUCAGGUGGGAGCUAUAUCGGCUCUCCCGAUCCAAUCUUGUCCUUCGAUGCCAGCAGCUCUCUCUAACUCUCGGGCCGAGGGGACCUCUGUUCGAGUUGAUCAGUCAAGUCCGGACUUCGUUGAAGCAUCUAUUGGAUGGAGGGAGGGUGCAUCCUCGUUUUUCGCAUAUGCGACCCUUGAGGAUUGGAAGACUGCUCGCCGCGUGACCGAAGGGAUGCUCCUUGACAUCGAUCUGGAUAGGAUUGGGCAGCAGAGCAUCGGGAGACGAUAGAGGGAGGCCGUGAUCUCCUUCAUUCGACUGGACCAUCACAUCGUCACUUUCAUCAACUCGCUGAGGAUCAUCGAGUCAGAGACCAUCGAAGCUCAGAAGAAGGCGGAAGCUGCAGAGGUUGAUGUUCGGUCGAGGAUUAAGUUAGUCGAGGCUGAAGCCAAGCUCCUGAAAGAGGCGCUGGACAAGGCUGAAGCUGCCAAGACGAAGGUCGAGACUGACUUGACCUUGGAGAAGUCAAGAUGGCGGGAAGUCCAGGCCAAGGCCGCAGAGGUCGAGAAGAAGACGAAGAGCUAGAUCGCUGAGGUCGGGCGUCUGACAGUCGAAGCCUUUCGGGAGUCGGAGGAAUUCUCCUAGGUCAAGGGGGAGUUCGACCAAGAUGCUUAUGCUGUCGGUCAAGACGAUCGCCGCAGCAAGAUACUGGCGUGCUUCCUAGAUUUGGACUUUGGCCUUUUCUAGAUAAAGAAGAAUUAGGAGCUGUAGAAGAUUCGGCUCCUGACCUUACUGCAGUUGGAGAAUGGCCAAGGUUUGGUCCAGUGCUAGGGGAUGCGCCAACAUCCAUUGCUGUCGAAGUUUUCUCACCGUCGGGGCCUGCUGAAGUUGCCUCAAGUUCUUUCGCCGAUCUUUGGGCUGAGGUUAUUAACAUUUGAGUUUUGUACCUUUUUUUUUGUUUUCCUAUCGAUGUAAUGAACAUCUUUACAUUAAUAAAAAAGCAAUUUUCUA